UACGAAGGGGGCUAGCGUUGCUCGGAAUCACUGGGCGUAAAGCGCGCGUAGGCGGACCUGCAAGUCGGGGGUGAAAGCCCGAGGCUCAACCUCGGAACUGCCUUCGAUACUGCGGGUCUCGAGUCCGGGAGAGGUGAGUGGAAUUCCUAGUGUAGAGGUGAAAUUCGUAGAUAUUAGGAAGAACACCAGUGGCGAAGGCGGCUCAGCUGGCCCGGUACUGACGCGUGAGGCGCGAAAGCGUGGGGAGCGAACAGG
rnacentral:rRNA from 1 species